rnacentral:sRNA from 12 species
UGACCAUUUUUUUAUCUGAAUAACUCGGGGAUAAAGAAAUAAAAUGCCAUACGGACAGCUAGGUCAAAUGCCGA